AGUCCGGGCAGGACGUAGCAUGGACAUGAGGGUCCCGACUCAGCUCCUCAGCCUCCUGCUGCUGUGGCUCCCAGGAGCCAGAUGUGAUAUCCAGAUGACCCAGUCUCCAUCCUCUCGGUCUGCAUCACUGGGAGACAGAGUCACCAUCACUUGCCGGGCCAGUCAGGGCAUUAGCAGUUGGUUAGCCUGGUAUCAGCAGAAACCAAGGACAGCUCCUAAGCUCCUGAUCUAUAAGGCGUCCAGUUUGCAAACCGGUGUCCCUUCGAGGUUCAGUGGCCAAGGAUCUGGGACAGAUUUCACUCUCACCAUCAGCAGCCUGCAGCCUGAAGAUGUGGCAACUUAUUACUGUCAACAGUAUCAGAGUUGGCCUCGGACGUUCGGCCAAGGAACCAAGCUGGAAAUCAAACGGUCUCAUGCUAAACCAUCCGUCUUCAUCUUCCAACCAUCUUCAGACCAGUUAAAAACUGGAAGUGCCUCUGUUGUGUGCUUGCUGAAUGGCUUCUACCCCAGGGAAGUCAAUGUCAAGUGGAAAGUAGAUGGCGUUGUCCAAACCAGUGGCAUCCAGAACAGUGCUACAGAGCAGGACAGCAAAGACAGCACCUAUAGCCUCAGCAGUACUCUGACACUGUCCAGUUCAGAGUACGAAAGUCAUGAUGUCUACGCGUGUGAAGUCACCCACGAGAGCCUAACUUCUGCCCUUGCCAAGAGCUUUGAUAGGAAAAGCUGUUAGAAAGGCCUACCAGGCUCCAUCAUCUGUGCCUUAGUCUUAGCCUUCCCUCUUCCCCUCCUUAGGCCUUGGGCCCGUUUCCCAAGAGACCUACCCAUACUACAGUACCCCAGCCCCUCUUCCCACCAUAUCCCCCCUCACUUUGGCUUUAAUCAUGCUAAUAUUUGGGGGGGAAAUGAAUAAAUAAAGUGAAUCUUUGCA